AUAUGGAUACUUUUCUUACAAAAAUGCAUCGAUUCACUACAGAAGGCCUUUGUUCACCCCCGGAGUCAUGUGAGACACUUUUUUUAUGGAAGGCCGCUUUUUAUUUCACGUCUUUUGGACUGAAGCAGUGCAACACUUGCUGACCCCAAUGAUAGAGCUUGAAAGAUCAAAGACAAUUUUUAAUAUAACGCUGACUAGAUUCGUCUGAAAGAAGAAAGUCAUACACACCUAGGAUGCCUUGGGGGUGAGUAAAACGCAGCCUGAUUUAGAUUUUUGGGUGAACUAAACUUUUAAUAUUACAUCUAAAAUUUGACUAUAGGCUAGACAUGUUGCAUAUUAAUAGUACUGUAUAUGAACCUCAAAGUAUAUUUUAAUUUGUGUAUUUUGUGUUGCUCCAUAAUGAUGUUCUAGUUAAGGUGAAUUGUAGUGUAUAGGGCCCAAACAUAACCUCAAGCCCAGGGGUCCCGGCCCCUUAAGUCCUGCCCAGCCCUUAGGCCAAGAUGUAGAUGAGGCUUAAUCGGAAUAGAUUUGGAGUAAUUGAUCAUUACAUCACUUGCUCACCAAUGGAUCCUCUGCAGUGAAUGGGUACCGUCAGAAUAAGAGUCCAAACAGCUGAUAAAAACAUCACAAUAAUCCACAUGACUCCAUUCCAUCAAUUAACCUCUUGUGAAAUGAUAAGCUGCAUGUUUGUGAGAAAUCCAUCAUUAAGGUGUUUAACAUAAAACUGACGCAUCUGGACAAGAUACAAGCCCAUAAUCCAUAAUAACACUUCAUUCAGUGAAACGGUCCAUCUCCUGUUGACUUCUCACAUAUUUGUUUAGAUCUGUUUUGGACUGUUUUUGCAUCUAAAUGGUUCUUGAGCUGUGCAUAUUUCUAUCCUGAUUCAGAUGAGACAAAAUUUUCACUGGAGAAAGCAAUAUUAUGGAUAGAGGACUCAUAUUUCAGCUGAAACAAUGGUUUGAAGUUAAAGGCAUUUUAAUGAUGGAACAUGCAUCUUUUAGCUACACAAUAUGUAAACUGAUGGACUGGAGUUGUGUGAAUUACUUGUAGAUUGUGAUGUUUUUAUCAGCAGUUUGGACUCUUAUUCUGACGGCACCCAUUCACUGCAGAUAAAUAAGCAAACUCAUCUACAUGCUGAAUGUUGAGGGUGAGUACAUUUUUAGAAAGUUUUCAUUUUGGGUUGAACUAUUCCUUUAAUGAGUGGAAUGAUACAGUUAUGGGUGAAGCAGUUGUUUGAUUUUUCAAACACUUUUCAGCCAUUUAGAACUUUUGGACAAAUUUGGUUGAUUGUAUUUUUUUUAGGACCACAACCAAACAAAAUAAUACAGUAGACAGUAACUUAGUAACAGAAGUUCUUUGUUUUGGAUUUGCUAAAUCCAAAGUACCAGUCCAGUGUUUUUCACUUCAAAGGAUUCUUCAGCAUUCUUUUCUUUUUCUUUGACAUGUCCAGCACUUGUAAAUGUGUUUUUCUAUCAAAAUUACUCAUAACAGAAUUUGGAGUGACUUCAGUUCAGCUACUUCUCAUUACUAAACUGUUUUUCAUGUGUAGUUAAUUAUGAAUGACUUUUGUGUGUGGGAAUAGCAGUAGAAGGCCAUUAGAAAAUCCUGGCUAGAUUCAAGUGAGCAUUGAGAAACAGGCUCUGUGAAAAAUAAUUUCAGAUUUCAGAGUUCAGAUUGCUCAUAUUGAACAUAAACUGUGUACUAUUAUUUUUGUAUUUAAAACAGAAACAAUAUAGUUAAUCUACACUCUAGUAAUGUUACUGAAAAAUUGUUUAGUAAUUAAAAUUGCAGUAUUUUGUUUAUUUUUGUCAUUAUUAAUUGUUAACUAAUGCACUUCCUUAGUAACAAUCUAUAAACAAAUAUGCUAAUGUUGCUAAUUUAAUAAUCAAAUAGUAAUAAAUAGCAUAGAGUCUUCCGAGUUCCCAAAUUUAUUUUAAUACAAAUCCUUUAAGUAAUUCCCUAAAUAUCACGAAUUAAAAUUUAGUAGUUCCCUGAUUAUGUAUUUUGGAUGUGUGUGCAAUUGUCAGUAUAAGCCAGGUGUGCUUAUCAUUUUGACUAUGAUUUUCUGCUUUAGUAUACAAAUACUUUACUAUAGAUCUACUUGCUAUUAGGACUUUAUUCAAAAAAGAAUCAAAGUCUUGUUUCUUAGUGUACAAAACUGUUUGUACAAAGCUGUUUUUGGUGCUGAGGUUUUGCAGAGCAUAUUUAAGCUUGUUCAUAUUUAACACUGAAUGACUUCGAGUUAAUGGUGCUAUUUGUUAGAUUAUGAAAAAGAAAAAGAAACUUGAGACACGUUGCGAGAGAGACAAAGUGUGUUUAUGUGUAGUCAUUAUGUGAAUUUACCUGAAACUUAUUAUAGCAUUGCAUUAAGGAGCUUUCACCAUAACUCAUAUUCAGUUGUAAUCAAUUUUAUAUUGUAAACAGGAAUUGUAAUGAAUUAUUACAUAUAAAAGAGUGUCAAUGCCAAAUCAACUGAGAAAUCAGGAGUGUAUUCUUGACAACACUUCCUCUACAGAAAAUAUAAAAACUGUCAUCAUUGUAUCAUUGUAUCAUUUAUCGCAGAUCUAUUGCACUCAGUCAGGUGUAUAUUUCUUGUCUUUUUCUGAACUAAAUCACACUGUGUUUCAUAAUUGCAACUAAAAUAAAUCAGGAUUGCAUAUGUUUAGUAUAGAAAACUGUAUAAUAGAAAAUCCUUUAAUUGUUUUUGUCAGAAUAAUAAUAAUAAAGAAAAAAAAUAACUAUGUGUAUAUUUUGAAUAUUUCUUUAGAAAAUGUCUAUGUAUAUUAUAAGAUCCCAAUAACUUCUCAGUUCUCUUCUAUACAGAUUUUAAUUGGCCAAAUGACCAUUUUUACACCUUAAAAACACAAAAUAUUGUGUUUGGAUUUGUAGUAACAUUGUACUAAUUGAAUAAAUAAUCUUUUGGAUGAAAAUAA